AUGGCUGUCGUCAGCUCGUGUCGUGAGAUGUUGGGUUAAGUCCCGUAACGAGCGCAACCCUUGUCCUUAUUUGCCAUCAUUAAGUUGGGCACUCUAGGGAGACUGCCGGUGACAAACCGGAGGAAGGUGGGGACGACGUCAAGUCAUCAUGGCCCUUACGACCAGGGCUACACACGUGCUACAAUGGAGCGUACAAAGGGUUGCGACCUCGCGAGAGUGAGCUAAUCCCAUAAAACGUUUCGUAGUCCGGAUCGCAGUCUGCAACUCGACUGCGUGAAGUCGGAAUCGCUAGUAAUCGUGAAUCAGAAUGUCACGGUGAAUACGUUCCCGGGCCUUGUACACACCGCCCGUCACACCAUGGGAGUGGGUUGCAAAAGAAGUGGGUAGCAUAACCUUCGGGAGUGCGCUCACCACUUUGUGAUUCAUGACUGGGGUGAAGUCGUAACAAGGUAGCCGUAGGGGAACCUGCGGCUGGAUCACCUCCUUAAAGAGAUACAGUAACUGUCUCAGUAAGUGCCUACCUCUAUUACCUAAUCUAACUAUAUAGAACGAUAUCUGAGUGCAUCUAUCGUCGAUGUUUCAAAACAUUCAGUGUUUUAACUCGGCGUUUUUUGUGUGUACAAUUCCUAAUAUCUAUUUAGCUAAAUGGGGCUAUAGCUCAGCUGGGAGAGCACCUGGUUUGCAUCCAGGAGGUCUGCGGUUCGAUCCCGCAUAGCUCCACCAACUUAAACGUUGCCAUAAAUAGAUUAAACUUUAGAAAGUUUGCUUGAGAGUUUUUAAGUUCUUAUCAAGAACACUCAAGUAAACUUUUUUAUAAAAGUUUAACUUAGUUAACCGAAAGGUCAGCUAAAUCGUUCUUUAACAAUUUAGUGAAUGAAUAACAUAUGUUUGUCUGUUGUGUGGGGUAGAGGCGAUUGUGAUGACCGCCGCUGCUCGUCCUAGCACAGCAGAAAAAAUGUAUGCUGUAUCUUAAAACAAGUUAUACAAGCGCAAGUAUCUGUACGAAUGAAGUCGUUAUUAGUUGCAGUAAGUUUCUGUAUGAGCAUGGUCCUGGUAUACAAAACGGGACACUGAUUCAAAUCUCCUUAAAGAUUUUUUGAGGAAGUAGAAUUCAUGAUUAUGUGGUCAAGCAAUUAAGCGUACGUGGUGGAUGCCUUGGCAAUUAGAGGCGAUGAAGGACGUUGUAGACUACGAAAAGCUUCGGGGAGCAGUCAAACAUGCUUUGAUCCGGAGGUGUCCGAAUGGGGAAACCCGG
rnacentral:sRNA from 1 species